UGCUUUGGUUUCGAUUAAAUGAUUAACCUGACAAAUAGCUCCAUGAGUACGGUCACACCGAGAUUAGCUAGUAUCUUGACUCCAUCUACAAACAAACUCAGGGAACUGGACCUAGAAAAGGCUAAAGUUAAAUAAAAAAAUGCAUCUGUGUGUGUGCUAUCCGUACGUAUUUAUACUGUGUAUGUGAGUUAUGUAUAUACAAAGAGAUGGGUGGCAGAGGUUUCGGUGCUUAAGGAAGAAAAAAGAACAAGAAAAUGCUAAUGUUCUUGGUUAAACAUCUUAUUUGGAAAA